rnacentral:rRNA from 1 species
AUUGAACGCUGGCGGCAUGCCUUACACAUGCAAGUCGAACGGUAACAGGUCAUCGGAUGCUGACGAGUGGCGAACGGGUGAGUAAUGCAUCGGAACGUGCCCAGUUGUGGGGGAUAACUGCUCGAAAGAGCAGCUAAUACCGCAUACGACCUGAGGGUGAAAGCGGGGGAUCGCAAGACCUCGCGCAAUUGGAGCGGCCGAUGUCAGAUUAGGUAGUUGGUGGGGUAAAGGCCUACCAAGCCGACGAUCUGUAGUUGGUCUGAGAGGACGACCAGCCACACUGGGACUGAGACACGGCCCAGACUCCUACGGGAGGCAGCAGUGGGGAAUUUUGGACAAUGGGCGCAAGCCUGAUCCAGCAAUGCCGCGUGCAGGAAGAAGGCCUUCGGGUUGUAAACUGCUUUUGUCAGGGAAGAAAUCCUCUGGGUUAAUACCCCGGGGGGAUGACGGUACCUGAAGAAUAAGCACCGGCUAACUACGUGCCAGCAGCCGCCGCAG